GUAGUUUGAUCCGUGGCUACAGAACGAACGCUGGCGGCAUGCCUAACACAUGCAAGUCGAACGAAGGCUUCGGCCUUAGUGGCGCACGGGUGAGUAACACGUGGGAACCUGCCUUAUGGUUCGGGAUAACGUCUGGAAACGGACGCUAACACCGGAUGUGCCCUUCCGGGGGAAAGUUUACGCCAUGAGAGGGGCCCGCGUCCGAUUAGGUAGUUGGUGGGGUAAUGGCCCACCAAGCCGACGAUCGGUAGCUGGUCUGAGAGGAUGAUCAGCCACACUGGGACUGAGACACGGCCCAGACUCCUACGGGAGGCAGCAGUGGGGAAUAUUGGACAAUGGGGGCAACCCUGAUCCAGCAAUGCCGCGUGAGUGAUGAAGGCCUUAGGGUUGUAAAGCUCUUUCGCACGCGACGAUGAUGACGGUAGCGUGAGAAGAAGCCCCGGCUAACUUCGUG
rnacentral:rRNA from 1 species